AGCAGCCGCGGUAAUUCCAGCACCUCAAGUGGUCAGGAUGAUUAUUGGGCCUAAAGCAUCCGUAGCCGGCUCUGUAAGUUUUCGGUUAAAUCUAUGCGCUCAACGUAUGGGCUGCCGAAAAUACUGCAGAGAUAGGGAGUGGGAGAGGUAGACGGUACUCGGUAGGAAGGGGUAAAAUCCUUUGAUCUAUCGAUGACCACCUGUGGCGAAGGCGGUCUACCAGAACACGUUCGACGGUGAGGGAUGAAAGCUGGGGGAGCAAACCGGAUUAGAUACCCGGGUAGUCCCAGCCGUAAACGAUGCAGACUCGAUGAUGCAUUGGCAUAUAGCCAGUGCAGUGUCGCAGGGAAGCCGUUAAGUCUGCCGCCUGGGAAGUACGUACGCAAGUAUGAAACUUAAAGGAAUUGGCGGGGGAGCACCACAAGGGGUGAAGCCUGCGGUUCAAUUGGAGUCAACGCCAGAAAUCUUACCCGGAGAGACAGCAGAAUGAAGGUCAAGCUGAAGACUUUACCAGACAAGCUGAGAGGUGGUGCAUGGCCGUCGCCAGCUCGUGCCGUGAGAUGUCCUGUUAAGUCAGGUAACGAGCGAGAUCCCUGCCACUAGUUGCUAUCAUUAUUCUCAGGAAUAGUGGGGCGAAUUAGUGGGACUGCCGUUGUUAAAACGGAGGAAGGAAGGGGCUACGGCAGGUCAGUAUGCCCCGAAACUCUGGGGCCACACGCGGGCUGCAAUGGUAGCGACAAUGAGUUCCAAACUCGAAAGAGAGUGGCAAUCCCUAAACGCUACCACAGUUAUGACUGAGGGCUGCAACUCGCCCUCACGAAUAUGGAAUCCCUAGUAACCGCGUGUCAUUACCGCGCGGUGAAUACGUCCCUGCUCCUUGCACACACCGCCCGU
rnacentral:rRNA from 1 species